rnacentral:rRNA from 1 species
UGGCCAGACUCCUACGGGAGGCAGCAGUGAGGAAUAUUGGUCAAUGGGCGCGAGCCUGAACCAGCCAAGUCGCGUGAGGGAAGACGGUCCUAUGGAUUGUAAACCUCUUUUGUCGGGGAGCAAAAGACGCCACGUGUGGCGUUCCGAGAGUACCCGAAGAAAAAGCUCCGGCUAACUACGUGCCAGCAGCCGCGGUAAUACGUAGGGAGCGAGCGUUGUCCGGAAUUACUGGGUGUAAAGGGAGCGUAGGCGGGACGGCAAGUCAGAUGUGAAAACUGAGGGCUCAACUUUCAGACUGCACUUGAAACUGCUGUUCUUGAGUGAAGUAGAGGUAAGCGGAAUUCCUAGUGUAGCGGUGAAAUGCGUAGAUAUUAGGAGGAACAUCGGUGGCGAAGGCGGCUUACUGGGCUUUUACUGACGCUGAGGCUCGAGAGCGUGGGGAGCAAACAGGAUUAGAUACCCCGGUAAU